GUCUCAAAAAAAAAGGACUCGUCUGAUCCAUGACCUGCCAGAACUGAAAGGAAUCUCACAGCUCAUGAAGGUGGCUGUUCAGUGAUUGGAAGAUUCUUGACAAAUACAUCGAGACACAUUUUUGGAUGUUUCCAACGCCACAGGCAUUGUUUUAGAUUAGACUCUACAUGAAGAUUCCAAGUAUCACAGCAGAUAUCUGGAGCUCUGACAGUUAUCUUGCAACCAUGAGGUCAAGAAAAGGUCAAGAGAAUCACAGAGAUGACAGCCUUAACAUCACUGGACCACUCACUCAGUGCCAGAAACUACCUGCCUCUAGACACCUUGCUAUGUAAACAC
rnacentral:lncRNA from 1 species